AAGGUACUAGAAAAACCAUUUCGUAACUUUGUCAAAGUUAAAUUACAGGUCAGACCCUGUGUAUCUUA
rnacentral:tRNA from 1 species